rnacentral:lncRNA from 9 species
GGGAGGGGCGGGAGCACGGGGGCCAGGCGGCUCCAGGCCUCGCGUCCACCUGCUCGCGCUGCGGUCCACUAGCUGGGCCCGCGCCCGCCUCGGCCCAUGGCAGCGUCCUCGGCCCUGUCUGCGGCGGCGGCGGCGGCAGCCCUGUCCGGCCUGGCCGUGCGACUGUCGCGCUCGGCCGCGGCGCGCGGCUCCUACAGCGCCUUCUGCAAGGGGCUCACGCGCACACUGCUCACCUUCUUCGACCUGGCCUGGCGGCUGCGCAUGAACUUCCCCUACGUCUACGUCUUGGCCUCGGUGAUGCUCAACGUGCGCCUGCAGGUGCGGAUCGAGUGAGCGCCCGCCGCCACCGCCGCCGGGCCACGACAGCAGGGGCGCGGGCAUGAGGGACGGCGGGGCCAGGGGCCACCUAGACGGGCGGGAAGGAAUCGAGACCGCUCGGGCCCCCGGGCCUUAGAGCUCCGCGGAGGACACGGCCACCGAGCUCGGACCUGGCCGCGACCCGCCCACCCACGUCGCGGCUGGAGCCGCGGCGCACAGAAACCCGCGAAACGGGCCCUUUGCAUUGGCCUCGACCUGUUGCCUCCCCUUGGCCGAAGAGGAAAGCAGAAGGAAGACAUUCUUCAGCCGGAAAGUGAAAGACUGGCCCGGACCCAAAAGGCCCUGGUGUUACAGGAGGUGACCCGCUCCUUCUCUGGUCUCCUCCAGGGAGGCAAGGUGGGCCCAGAGCUGCCUGGGGAGCAGCCAAGAGAAGGGCCCGACCCAGGAGGAGAGGAAGGGCCUUCCAGGCUGGCCCACCUGCCCAGGAUCGCCUGGGAGAAUCUCCACUAGCGGGGCUCCCGUGGUCGUGGAGGCCCGGCCGUGCUGUUGACUGGCACCCCGGGAGCGGCGCAGAGGGGGAGCCGGGAGAGCCCCUGGUCCUCCCCCCACCCCCCAGUCCCACACCUGUCCCCGCAACGGUUGCUCGUGGCCCACGUCCUCAGAGUUCCUGGGACUGAAAACCUCAGCCUGGUUGCCCCAGGGACGGGGUGGCCGAGCCUCACGCCAUCUGCCCUCCUCAGCCACCCAGCUGGUGCCUGGGUCCCAAGUGAAGAUCUCUGCUGGCCUGAGGCCUGAGGCCACCUGUAGCCCCCACACCUCCCGCAGACUGUCACAGAGCGGGCCCGAUGGUUCCUGCCUUGUUCCAUGUCGCCUGGGAGCCCCUGGUCCUGGUGGCCACUCCUCCACCCCAAGCUCGCCCACCCGGGGCCACUUCUGGGAGCCUGAGGACUGCGUGCGUGGAUCUCUGGGGCAGCCUCCGAGAGACGGUGCCACAGGGCUGCAUGGGAGGCAGCGGAGCGUCUAGAAAGUCGGGCAUCGACUUGAGUAAGACGACUUUCACUUUUCUGUGUGUGCCGAACUCUGCACCGGUCAGCACAGUCUGGUCAGAGCAACGUUCUUGUGUCUGGUGUCGUCAAAUUUUGGCGUCUGUCUAAGAUACGAAAAAAGCCCCAUGAGUUCAAUAAAAUGAAAA